GGCCUUUUGAUAAUAAUUUAAGGUCGGGCCUGCCCAAUGAGGAUUUUAAUGGCCGCGGUAUUUUGACCGUGCAAAGGUAGCAUAAUCAUUAGUUUUUUAAUUGAAAGCUUGUAUGAAAGGUUUGAUGAAAAAAUAACUGUCUCUAAUUAAUUUUUUUAGAAUUUUAUUUUUAAGUAAAAAAGCUUAAAUAAUUAUAAAAGACGAGAAGACCCUAUAGAGUUUUAUAUAAUUAUGAAUAAUUAUAUUUUUAGAAUUUUAAUAAUAAUAUUUAAUAAUUAUAUUUUAUUGGGGUGAUAAAAAAAUUAAUUAAACUUUUUUUGUAUUUUUACAUUAAUAGGUGAAUUCUUGAUCCAUUAUUAUUGAUUAUAAGAAUAAAUUACCUUAGGGAUAACAGCGUAAUUUUUUUUUAGAGUUCAAAUCAAAAAAAAAGAUUGCGACCUCGAUGUUGGAUUAAAAUUAAGGAUUGGUGUAGCAGCUAGUUUAUUAAGUCUGUUCGACUUUUAAAAUUUUACAUGAUCUGAGUUUAGACCGGUGUAAG
rnacentral:rRNA from 1 species